UUACCUACCAAUCUACUCUAGUGGAUCAUGUAACUAAUUACAUUAUAAGCUAAAAAUCUCUAUAUUUAUUUCUCUCUCUAGGAUGUGCUUUAUUGCGCCAAGAAAGCUGGUGUGACUCAUAUUCAAAGCCGGGUAGCUCAGGCCAUUUUAGCCAUGGUGUGGGGGACUCCAUCUUGUCCUAAGGUGGAGAAUUUUUAGGACCUGGAAAUCAGUAAGUCACAGCUGCAAAAAUGAUUUCCCAGGUGUUGUUGUCAUCUCCUCUUUUUAGCACUGAGAAAAAGUAAUCUAUUUCUAGUAUGGGAGCAACAGUUUGGUAAGCGAAAUAGAUGCAAA